rnacentral:pre_miRNA from 10 species
UUUUUCCCCACUCACAGAUGACUGGUUUCCUCUGGUGCAUAGAGUAAGUCUAGCCUUCUAGCACCAUUUGAAAUCGGUUAUGACACUGGGGAACGUUGC